GAAUUUUUUUUGGGGACCAAAACUAUUUGAGAUUGAAGCCUUCUCUCUCUCUCUCUCUAUCUCUCUCUCCUCGGAGCAAACGAAGUGGUCUGCGAAAACCUAGCCGCAUACAGAGAAUAAAGAGUAGGAGAACCAAAGCAACUGCUGCGAAAACCCCAAGCAUUUUCAGGUAAUUUCACUUUCUCUCUCCUCUUUCCCGAACCACCCCACCGUAACCCUACAAUAUUUGUCAACGAUAAAAGCAACAAUAUGUUAUUGUUCUUCCAUUUCGCGAUCUCAAGAAAAAAAGAAGAAGAGGGGUUUCGUGAUCUGCACAAAAUCAUCAAAAAAAGUAAUCUUUUCCAUCAAAAAAAGAAAAUAUACAUAUAUAGUGUUAGUGUCUGUAUAUGUAUGAAGUACCUGUUCUUUUUCUAGGUCAGAGGGGUUGUUGUUGGCAGCCAUUGAAACCUGAAUGAACUGAAAGAUCAAUCAGAAAAAAUAUUCAGAAACAAGAAGUCACUCACCAAUCAGAAAACAUAUUCCGAAAUUAUUGUACAUUUUCAAUUAAUACUUCUGAAUUAUUUAUAAAUUUUUGAUACUUAAUUUUUGAAUUUUUUAAAUUAAAUCGGUUCUGUAGUGCCGAAUGUUUUACAAUUUUUUAGUACUUGAUAUCGGAGUAGUUUAUGCAAGCAAUGGAUAGAGUGUAAUAAUGGAGUGUAGCAAGUUAUGGAAAACAAUAGAGGUAGUGAGAAACAAUGUAGGAAUUAAGUUUUAAUUUUUGUUUUUUGUUUUUUUUUUUGUGAAAGUUGUGCAUUGGGAAUUAUUGUUUUUUUAAAGAUGUGUAUAGAGAAAAUCUAGAUUUAAUUUGUAGUGUGUAUUGAUGUCCAUUAUGGUCAUUUUGCUUCAUGAUAAAAUUGUCAUAAUUUUUUUUUUUAUUUUGCAUUAAUUGUGUACACGGAGACAAAACAGUGUGGAAAUAGAAUUUCCCAUAAUAAACAGAGACUAGAUCACAAGGCCGAGAGACAUGCCCCCUCAGUCUUCAGGUUGUUUACUUGAAAGUUUUGAUGGCAUGAGCGGAGUCGGAAAAAAAAUAAAAUAAGUUUGUGUAGGAAUGGCUUCCUUAUCCCACCGGGUACCCAAACGGCCUCGCAAUGCCAACCUUGGAUUUAGGGAUGUGCCAACCGACGCUUGGGCCAACAAACCAGUUGCCUAUGAUACAUCCUUUGAUGUGGAAUACUUGAAGACCGGGGCCUCUUGGGCGUGUGCACUGUCACUGAACCUGUGUAUCCUCGUAUUGUGCGAGUCUUUUAUCAAAAUAUGUAACACCAGUGACGAGGCCCUGGAAGCUCUUUUGUCCCUUGUUGACGGGGUGGAGUUAACUGUCACACCAGCUUCCAUUGCCGAUGUCCUCCACUGUUCCAUGGACACUAUCAAUGCAAAACAGUUCCCAGUAUUCACUUGGGAACUCAUCAUCCUGGCACUAGUAAUUGAAUUUUAUGAGGGGCGAGAGGAUGAUGACAACCGUACUAGCAUCCGGCGAGCUAACUUGCCACGCCGCCUUCUCUUCCUCGAUGUGGUUCUAAAAAAGAAUAUCAUAUCUCUUGGCCACACAAGGAAGAACGGCGAGGGGACUGCCUCCGUGCCUUGCAUCGAUUUGACUUCGGAUUUUGGAUUGACACCCCUAUUUUGAUCUACAACCAGAUGAAUCGAAUCUUUAAUGAAGUGUGCGCAACACCUGGGGCAGUUCUACAUGGGCCCUCCCUUUCGUCAACCUCAUCACUGCGCUUAUCAAAACCCAAGGGACAUAACCACUUGAAUCCAAUGAGGUUCAGCUUCCAUCGCCCACACUUUAUGGAAAAAUCCACUGGCGUCAAACCACUGCUUGCCUGUUGCCUCCACCACUCUUCCCCGAUGCCCGGGCCAAUCCUAAUGAUGCCCCGGUAGAGUCCGCCGCACUAGUGCCAGCGCCAGCGCCAUUGCCAUUCCGUAUGACGAGGGCGUAAUAUCGGGCUUUUUUGGAUAAUCAAGCCGCUAUUCAGCAAUCGGUGGUUGAUCUCUGGGCUAACUAUCAGGCCGAUCGAGAUUACUCACAGGCGGCAUUUGAUGGGUAUAAGCAGUCAGUUGCAUCUCUGCAAAUUGACUUCUACGCAUACCGAGACUGGAGCGAGCAGCGGUUUGAUUAGCUUGGCGCUAGGGUUCAUGAUGAGGCGUUCAAGAUUCGGACACUGAUGCAUGCCCUAUUUGAGCAGCAUUUCCCACCACCGCCAUAUCCACAUUAGUGUUAUCUGUAUAUUUUCUUUUAUUUAUUUAUUUAUUUAUUUAUGUUUUGUUUUGUUUUAAUUUUCUUUUCCUUUUAUAC